rnacentral:rRNA from 1 species
UACGGAGGGAGCUAGCGUUGUUCGGAUAUACUGGGCGUAAAGCGCACGUAGGCGGCGCCGUAAGUCAGGGGUGAAAUCCCGGAGCUCAACUCCGGAACUGCCUUUGAAACUGCAGUGCUAGAAUCUUGGAGAGGUCAGUGGAAUUCCGAGUGUAGAGGUGAAAUUCGUAGAUAUUCGGAAGAACACCAGUGGCGAAGGCGACUGACUGGACAAGUAUUGACGCUGAGGUGCGAAAGCGUGGGGAGCAAACAGG